AGCUCCUCCUCCCCGCAUCCUCCUCAAAUCAGGCUGCUCCUCCUCCCUCCAUCCUUCUGAUCUCUCUUAUUUUGCAUUGAUUGGUGGUUAAUCCACAUCUACCUCAAUAAUUGAGCCCUCUAGGGACCCCUAAUCCCUCUAUCCCUAGUGAUUUUGUUGUAAUUUUGGUCAAUUCGUGGAGAACAGGUUGGGGAUUGCAAAUUACUGAAACCUUCAAACUGGAAUUCAAAAAAUUACUGAAGAACGCAACAUCUUCUAUCAUUAAUCCGCGGGAAGCAGCAGCAUUGUACCUGAAGGCGGCUGUGUGUGAGCUCCGAGGGGGAAGCACAAGUCGAAGGUUGGGGGAUGACCACAGGACAUCAAAUACAUCAAAGCAUGAUAGGUGCAAAAAAAAAAGCAAUGGUUUGUGCUAGAACAGCAGGAAUGGACGGCGUGACUUUUUACGUGGAUUGUGCUUUAGCAUAACCACAAGCUCAUGCCUAGAACGCGCAUGACGAAAUGUAUACAGGCGCACAAGGCGAAAGACCCAGCAAUAUUGAUGAACAUGUAUUACGAGAUGAUAUCUGUAUUGCUGAAUCCAAGACAUACAUUGGAAUUAUACGAUGUAUUACAGAAUCUAAAUGUGCAUAGGUAUUAUUGGAUGUACUUGAAACUCUGCACUACUAAAUCCAAGCAUGUACAUGGGUAUUACUAGAAAACAAUUUCUCAAAAAUAUACAAAAUUACUGGAAGUGCA